GGACAGACACACAGAGGGAUGGUGGCCAUGAACUGAAAGAGGAAGAGAUUGGAGGGAUUCAUCUGCAAGCCUAGGAAUGCCAAGGAUUGAUAGCUACCACUGGAAGCUAGGAAAGAGAGCUGGUUCAGAAACAAAGUCCCUCCAAUGUUAAACAAGUGGAGAGCUGACCAGGAUAGCUAGUAAAGCAGGGAGAAAACCAGAUGAGGAAACUGAGGUACCUGCCAUGGGUCACAGAGCUGGUGUGCGAAGGAGCCUAUUCCAGAAUCCAGGCUUAUGCCCAUGCUCCCACCACAGACUGCACUUAUCAGGAAAUGAGACUGAGCUGCAAAUUCCUCCACUGGGUGCCACAGCAUCCUUCUUCCCCCUCAAGAUGAAAAAUAUUCCUCCUCUUCUCCAAGGCCGAUCUUUCCUUUAGGCCCUUAAAAAGUUGUCUAGGCCUUUAUUUUUAUUCCCUUGGAAGAUUUUGCUACAUCUACCAUCCUAUAUUUCUCUCACAUCACCUAUGUCUCACACCAAUGAAUUUGUGGACCAAAGCCAGUCAAAUGCUAAAUGAACAACAGAAAUCUUUUUCUUUGGACAAUAGCCAUCUUUCUAGUUGUCUUCCUUCUGCUUUUCUCCAGUGCAUUUUCCUUAAAGCGGAAGCUGCUCUUCAUGCCCUACUUCCCUCUCUUAACUCACCCUUGCAGUUUGGAUCCCAACUCACUGCCCUGAGGAUAAGCCCGUUGCUGAACUGGUCUCUCUUCAGAAACUUUUUCCCUCCCUGAACACUCACAACACACAGCCCUCAGUGCUUCUCAUUCUUUUACAAUUGAGUGCUUUCUUCCCUUAAAUCAUUCUUUAAUCUGCCCAUUUCUCUCCAAUGCUAGGGCAGGCUAACACCACCUCUCUUUCUGGGAUCCUGCCCCCCAACAAUCCUAGUCUCUGUCACACAGAGUGAAUCUUAAAAUGUACACUCAGCUGUGUCACACACCUGCUCACAAUUAGUGUGUCAUCAGUUUCCCUCUGUUUAUGGGACAAAGAUACAAGUCCUGCUGUCACUGAUAGGGUGGUAAUCUGGUCUAAUCCUCCUCUGCUGGUUUCUCUUGAGCCCUACAAUCUCUCUCUACUCUCAUUACCAUGGUCUUCUCUCAAGUUUACCUCUUUUGCAUAUCUGAACCUUUACCCAGGUGCUUCCUCCUGCCUGUAACCCUUGUCCUGCCCUUCCCCUGGUUGAUGCCUACUCAUCUUCAAAGAAGCCUUUUCUAAUCUUACCUCCAAAGAAUUGAUCAGGAUCCCAUUAUUCUUUCCAUAGCAUCAAAACUUCUAGUAUCCAUCCCAGUUGCACUGAACACCUUGCUUAUACUUAGCCUUGUACAUAGUAGGUUCUCUGCAUAUAUUUCAAAUGGAUGUUUUUUUCAAUUCUAUUUCUCUUCCUCACACUUAAAUGUUUGCUUCUCAGGGUUUUAUCCCUUUAGAGACAGACUUCUUGUGUUCUGUAUUAGUGGCACCACUUCUGCUCUGUCCCCACACUCAAGUCCUUUUGGUUCUCUCUGAGUGUUGUCCUGUUCCUUGAUCCCACACAUCCUAUCCAGUCUGGCCGAGUCUAUCUCUGCCAGGUGCCAAUGCUUCUCCCCAGCCCCUAUGGUUCUUGGGCUAUGAAGGAGUUUAUCUCUUUGCUCUAGUACAGCCCAACAUCCCCAAACGAUGGGUCAGCAUCAAAGGUUCUCCUCUAAAGCGUACAACAAAAUACCAGGGUUUAAUAUUUCUGUCCUGGUCCACUUACCUCUUCACUAUCUUAUAACCUUUAUAAAUAUGUCUUACCUUCAGACAAUCCCUAUAUUCAAAUUCUAUCCAUUUUCAAGGUCUAGUUCAAACACCUCCUCCAGGAAACCUUGUUUCAGAAACUAUAACUCUAACAUUGUAUCACACUAUCUCCAUACCUUAUUUGCUUAUGUAUCUUCAUUUCUCUUUAAAUCAAAGCUCUUAUGGAAAAAGUCAGAAAUGAAAGCCUCUUUAUUUCUUUUCUAGUGUCUUAGGACAGCAUAUUGCCCAGGUAGGUGAUCCUUCUCUGAAGGUCCCACCCCAGCACCCAUGAUAACGUGGCAUCUAAGAAAAAGCUCAAUCAACGUUUACUACAUUUAUAAGAACAGAGAGAGAAGUAAAAUAACAUGCAAAUCAAGAUAUUAUUAAAGGGGAGGUGAUAAACCCAGUGGAUUCUCUACUUUCACAUAUAAUAUAAAUUGUCAUUUCUCAGAGAUAGCAAAUGAAGCUUUAGGCCUUUUGG